AUUGAACGCUGGCGGCAUGCCUUACACAUGCAAGUCGAACGGCAGCACGGGGGCAACCCUGGUGGCGAGUGGCGAACGGGUGAGUAAUAUAUCGGAACGUACCCUGGAGUGGGGGAUAACGUAGCGAAAGUUACGCUAAUACCGCAUACGAUCUAAGGAUGAAAGUGGGGGAUCGCAAGACCUCAUGCUCCUGGAGCGGCCGAUAUCUGAUUAGCUAGUUGGUGGGGUAAAGGCCUACCAAGGCAUCGAUCAGUAGCUGGUCUGAGAGGACGACCAGCCACACUGGGACUGAGACACGGCCCAGACUCCCACGGAGGCAGCAGUGGGGAAUUUUGGACAAUGGGGGCAACCCUGAUCCAGCAAUGCCGCGUGAGUGAAGAAGGCCUUCGGGUUGGUUAAA
rnacentral:rRNA from 1 species